AGAGUUUGAUCCUGGCUCAGGAUGAACGCUGGCGGCGUGCUUAACACAUGCAAGUCGAACGAAGCACUUUAUUUGAUUUCCUUCGGGACUGAUUAUUUUGUGACUGAGUGGCGGACGGGUGAGUAACGCGUGGGUAACCUGCCUUGUACAGGGGGAUAACAGUUGGAAACGGCUGCUAAUACCGCAUAAGCGCACAGCAUCGCAUGAUGCAGUGUGAAAAACUCCGGUGGUAUAAGAUGGACCCGCGUUGGAUUAGCUAGUUGGUGAGGUAACGGCCCACCAAGGCGACGAUUGGUAGCCGGACUGAGAGGUUGAACGGCCACAUUGGGACUGAGACACGGCCCAGACUCCUACGGGAGGCAGCAGUGGGGGAUAUUGCACAAUGGGGGAAACCCUGAUGCAGCGACGCCGCGUGGAGGAAGAAGGUUUUCGGAUUGUAAACUCCUGUCGUUAGGGACGAUAAUGACGGUACCUAACAAGAAAGCACCGGCUAACUACGUGCCAGCAGCCGCGGUAAAACGUAGGGUGCAAGCGUUGUCCGGAAUUACUGGGUGUAAAGGGAGCGCAGGCGGGAAGACAAGUUGGAAGUGAAAACCAUGGGCUCAACCCAUGAAUUGCUUUCAAAACUGUUUUUCUUGAGUAGUGCAGAGGUAGAUGGAAUUCCCGGUGUAGCGGUGGAAUGCGUAGAUAUCGGGAGGAACACCAGUGGCGAAGGCGGUCUACUGGGCACCAACUGACGCUGAGGCUCGAAAGCAUGGGUAGCAAACAGGAUUAGAUACCCUGGUAGUCCAUGCCGUAAACGAUGAUUACUAGGUGUUGGAGGAUUGACCCCUUCAGUGCCGCAGUUAACACAAUAAGU
rnacentral:rRNA from 1 species